GACCUAGAAGGUUUUGACUCCGUGGUAUCAUCUACUGAGAAACUCAGUCACCCAACCACAAGCAGACCAAAAGCCACGGGGAGGCGGCCUCCGUCCCAGUCCCUCACCUCCUCUUCCCUUUCAAGCCCUGAUAUCUUUGACUCCCCAAGUCCCGAAGAAGAUAAAGAGGAACACGUUUCGCUUGCACACAGAGGAGUGGAAGCAUCAAAGAAAACUUCAAAGACUGUUACCAUAUCCCAAGUGAGUGAC